AAGUCGUAACAAGGUUUCCGUAGGUGAACCUGCGGAAGGAUCAUUACCAUGUGCCCGGCAUAGGUGUGCCUACCAGCCGCCUCUGUCGCGUGCCAUCCUUCACCCUUGUCUAUGAAUACCUUUUGUUAUCCCUCGGCAAGAUUCGCUUUGCAAUCUCGCCGAACGGGACCUUUAAAACUCUUGUAAUAAGCAUUAUAUUUUCUGAUACCUUAUAAAAUAAGUAACAACUUUCAACAAUGGAUCUCUUGGUUCUG
rnacentral:misc_RNA from 1 species